AAUUUUUAUUUUGUUUCUCAUUUCAAUCCCUACAGUGAAUUGGAAACAUGUGAUCACUUCAAUUGUAUGCUGGACUUUAAUGGUUUCCCUGCUUUUCUACCUAUCAACGGUGUUUGGGUCUAUCCAAAUGCUUAGACUCUAUGGCGUUCCCUACAUGAUUUUUGUUACGUGGUUGGACACCGUUACUUGCAUCACCAUGGCUAAGAACAAAAGCUUCCUUGGUACCGCGGAAAGAUGGUUUGCCUAUGUUAUGACACUCAAUGUAUAGAAAAGCCAUUUAACUAAUGAUAGUUGAGAAAAUGCAGGAUUUCCUGAACCGGCUGGUUAGAGAACAUGGAAGCAUAGAUCUUGAAUGGUUGAGGGAUGUUCCACCUGACAAAGUAAAAGAAUAUCUGUUGAGUGUAAGAGGGUUGGGCUUGAAAAGCGUGGAGUGUGUGCGACUUUUGACUCUUCACCAUCUUGCUUUCCCAGUAAGUCAUAAGUUAAAAGUACACGACAUAUCAAAAUAAUAUGGAUGAAUCUUAAACAUUUUACUUGUAAAUCUUCAAUAAGGUUGACACAAACGUUGGACGUAUAGCUGUCAGACUAGGAUGGGUACCCCUUCAGCCGCUGCCUGAGUCACUACAGUUGCAUCUUCUAGAACUAUGAGUAUUAAGGGCCAACUGAUUUACAUCAGGACAAUUGGUCAUUCACAAUAGCAAAGCUAAUGUUGCUGUUCCUACAUAGGUACCCAGUGUUGGAACCAAUUCAGAGAUAUCUCUGGCCACGACUCUGCAAGCUUGACCAAAGAACAUUGUAAAUUGAUAUUUCUGUUGGCAUCUAUACCCAAACUGAUUUAUGCAUACUGUUUAUAUAUAUAUGAAUUGGCAAGAACAUAAAAUUAUUUAUUAUUUAUUGUUGAAUUAUGCAAUGGCAUUUACUCUAUCUCUCCAAUCGAAUUUCACGCAUUCUUUUCAUUGCUCUAUGAGAUUUGGACCUCUCUCUGUUUUUUAUUGAAUCUCAUUAUCUUUGUCACUCUUAUCACAUUUUCCUUACAGAAAAUGUCAAACAGUUUCUAAAAUUGGUGCUAGUGACUAGUUCGUUGGUGCUUUCCUAUGCAUAUUGAUGAUGACCUAUUUGUAGUUGAGAUUAUGUACUAGAGGGAAGUGAAGGAACUCCUUUUGCAGGUGGAUAUUAUUAUGGGAAAAUCAAAUUUCCUCCAAAGUAUCCAUUUAAACCUCCAGGAAUCAGUAUGACUACUCCAAACAGAUGAUUUAUGACUUAAAAGAAAAUCUGCCUAUCUAUGAGUGAUUUUCAUCCAGAAAGUUGGAAUCCGAUGUGGUCUGUAUCAAGCAUACUUACAGCCUUCUCUCUUUCAUGGAGUAUUGGCCAGCUUGUUCCUUGAAAUAAGCAUUGGCCCAUGAAUGAGUUAUCCAAUAUUUUGAUGGUUUUAUUAACAUUUUUUUGGGGUAUAGUUUGUGCUUGAAUAUAAAUAGGUAGGAAAUGUUAUAAUUUUUUUAUAUUGUUUGUCAAAUGUAAAAUUGUAGCCACCUGGACGAGGAAUUAAAUUUGUUUGGUUUAUUUUUGGUUUAUUUUCAUUUAUGUGCUUCUGUAUAGAAUCCUUGCCUUUUAGAGUUGACCUUAUUUAGCUAAUAAUGCAAUUUGACAA